rfam:Triticum aestivum genome assembly, contig: Triticum_aestivum_CS42_TGACv1_scaffold_577731_7BL
AUAAUACUUCAUCCGUUCGAAAAUACUUGUCCUCAAAACAAAUAAAUAAAAUAUAUCUAGACGUAUUUUAGUUAUAGAUACAUUCUUUUUUAAUCAUUUUGAUGACAAGUAUUUUCGGAUGGAGGGAGUAUAUA